rnacentral:rRNA from 1 species
UACACUCCUACGGGAGGCAGCAGUGGGGAAUAUUGGACAAUGGGCGCAAGCCUGAUCCAGCCAUGCCGCGUGAGUGAUGAAGGCCCUAGGGUUGUAAAGCUCUUUCACCGGUGAAGAUAAUGACGGUAACCGGAGAAGAAGCCCCGGCUAACUUCGUGCCAGCAGCCGCGGUAAUACGAAGGGGGCUAGCGUUGUUCGGAUUUACUGGGCGUAAAGCGCACGUAGGCGGACUAUUAAGUCAGGGGUGAAAUCCCGGGGCUCAACCCCGGAACUGCCUUUGAUACUGGUAGUCUUGAGUUCGAGAGAGGUGAGUGGAAUUCCGAGUGUAGAGGUGAAAUUCGUAGAUAUUCGGAGGAACACCAGUGGCGAAGGCGGCUCACUGGCUCGAUACUGACGCUGAGGUGCGAAAGCGUGGGGAGCAAACAGGAUUAGAAACCCGUGUAGUCCC